CGUUGAUUACGUCCCUGCCCUUUGUACACACCGCCCGUCGCUACUACCGAUUGAAUGGCUCAGUGAGGCCUUGGGACUGGCUCAGAGAGGUCGGCAACGGCCACUCAGAGCCGGAAACUUGGUCAAACUUGGUCAUUUAGAGGAAGUAAAAGUCGUAACAAGG
rnacentral:rRNA from 1 species